ACCAGAUUGAAGUCCAACCAAAACCAUAACCAUCAAACAGAGCGGGAACCACUUCAAAACCGAACCAAAAUUAGCCUGAAACAGUGAACGAACCCGGUGAACCGGCUACUCAAGCCCAGGUCUAGCUAUAAGCCUGGCUUGAUUGCGUUCACAAAGUUCAAGAAGCUGCAUGGCAUUGCUGACUUCAAGUUUACAUUUAAUUCUCCAACUUCAUUUUAAAUGCUAAACAGAGAAAGAAAUGAGAAACCUGUGAAUUGAGCAAGAAAUAACAAUAACACCCAAACUCGCAUCCCAUCCAAAUUUGCCCUCAAAUAAAAUCAUUAAAAAAAGGUGAAAGAAAUAAUGGCAACAGCAUUACAUCCCACGGAUCAUUAACCCUUUCUUCAUUGACUUAAAUCACAUGGCUAGAGGCAUCACCACUUUAUGGAGUGCUGAUACGCACCUACAUGUAACCAUUUUACGAGUUCAAAAUAAAUCAAAUGCCAUAUUAUCAAAGUGUCUAAGGAAAGAAUAUAUAUUACAGUCAUGGAGUCUCGUCCCCUUGUCGCUUCCUGUUGGUCCUAGCCAAGCAGAACAGGAUGUGGUUUUUCUUUGUCCUUUCUACCAAAGCCUAUUUCUUUGCCUUUGCAAACCUUAGGCAUCGAUACUUUUCGCCACUUACAGUGAUUUCAAGAGCUCCAUCCUGAUUAUCCUGAUUUGAUGCAGUUCCCAUUAGAACACUUUUCUCCUUCUCAAGAUUUUCUUUUUCCAUCUUCAGCCUUGCUUCUUGGCGAGCAAUCUCUGCCUGAAAGAAGCAAAGAAAUAAUGUUUGAGAAGUUAAUAACAGGAAAUGAUCAUAUAAAGACAUAGCAAGAUGAUUAAGCAGUUUCCUGACAGACAAACAAAUUUUCAACUACAUACACACAUAUGCGACUCUUCAUUGCACAUAUUAAUUUAGCAGGCAUCAAUAGUUACUUGACAACAAGCAUGCUCAUUUAGUUGUGGAACCAUCAAAACUAGAAAGGAAGAGACUCCAUUUAAUAUCAGCAGUCCAGCACUCCAUGCAUCGAGAAAAAACUAAUAAAGGUGUAAUUGAUUUUCAACAGAUGUCAACCAGCAACAAAAGGCAAUGCUGCUUAAACCCAAUAGAGAAACACUAUGUUGACAUGAUUCCAAGAACACAAUAAUUGGCACAGCUGAUGCGGAGAUAAGAACAUGUGUUCGUUCUGUUGGAUAGUUAGAGAAUAUAGCUAUAAGA
rnacentral:misc_RNA from 1 species